GGCGGUUUUUAAGUCAGAUGUGAAUGCCCGGGCUCAACUUGUGUGCUGUUUUUGAAACUGGGUGACUAAAGGGCAGGAGAGAAAAGGGAAUUUCCUGGGGUAGGGGUGAAUGGCGUAAAGUUUAGGAGGACCACCAGUGGCGAAGGCGGUUUUCUGGACUGUAACUGACGUUGAGGUCUGAAAGCGGGGGGAGCAAACAGGAUUAAAUCCCCGGGUAGCCCACGCCGUAAACAAUGAAUACUAGGGGUAGGAGGUUUCGACCCCUUCUGUGCCGCACUAAACACAUUAAGUAUUCCGCCUGGGGGAGUACGAUCGCAAAAUUGAAACUCAAAGGAAUUGACGGGGGCCCGCACAAGCGGCGGAGCAUGUGGUUUAAUUCGAAGCAACGCGAAGAACCUUACCUAGUCUUGACAUCCCCAUGAAUUUCUGUAAUGAGGAAAGUUUCUUCGGGGCAUGGAGACACAGGGGGGCAUGGGUGUCCGUCAGUCGUGUGUCUGAGAAAGUUGGGUUAAGUC
rnacentral:rRNA from 1 species